rfam:Ictidomys tridecemlineatus contig079304, whole genome shotgun sequence.
GUGGUUGUAGCUCAGUGGUAGAGCACUUACCUGGCAUGUGUGAGGCACUGGGUUUGACCCUCAGCACCACA